AACUUUUAACAACGGAUCUCUUGGUUCUCGCAUCGAUGAAGAACGUAGCAAAGUGCGAUAACUAGUGUGAAAUUGCAUAUUCAGUGAAUCAUCGAGUCUUUGAACGCAACUUGCGCUCAAUGGUAUUCCAUUGAGCACGCCUGUUUCAGUAUCAAAAA
rnacentral:rRNA from 1 species